UACGAGGGGGGCGAGCGUUGUUCGGAUUCAUUGGGCGUAAAGGGCGCGUAGGCGGCGGGGCAAGUCGGGUGUGAAAUCUCAGAGCUCAACUCUGAAACUGCACUCGAUACUGCUUUGCUUGAGGACUGGAGAGGAGAUUGGAAUUCACGGUGUAGCAGUGAAAUGCGUAGAUAUCGUGAGGAAGACCAGUGGCGAAGGCGGAUCUCUGGACAGUUCCUGACGCUGAGGCGCGAAGGCCAGGGGAGCAAACGGG
rnacentral:rRNA from 1 species